rnacentral:rRNA from 1 species
GAUGAACGCUAGCGGGAGGCCUAACACAUGCAAGCCGAGCGGUAUUGUUUCUUCGGAAAUGAGAGAGCGGCGUACGGGUGCGGAACACGUGUGCAACCUGCCUUUAUCUGGGGGAUAGCCUUUCGAAAGGGAGAUUAAUACUCCAUAACAUAUUGAACGGCAUCGUUUAAUAUUGAAAGCUCCGGCGGAUAGAGAUGGGCACGCGCAAGAUUAGCUAGUUGGUGAGGUAACGGCUCACCAAGGCGAUGAUCUUUAGGGGGCCUGAGAGAGUGAUCCCCCACACUGGUACUGAGACACGGACCAGACUCCUACGGGAGGCAGCAGUGAGGAAUAUUGGUCAAUGGGUGCAAGCCUGAACCAGCCAUCCCGCGUGAAGGACGACUGCCCUAUGGGUUGUAAACUUCUUUUGUAUAGGGAUAAACCUACCCUCGUGAGGGUAGCUGAAGGUACUAUACGAAUAAGCACCGGCUAACUCCGUG